rnacentral:rRNA from 1 species
AGCCUGAAUCAGUGUGUGUGUUAGUGGAAGUGUCUGGAAAGGCGCGCGAUACAGGGUGACAGCCCCGUACACAAAAAUGCACAUGCUGUGAGCUCGAUGAGUAGGGCGGGACACGUGGUAUCCUGUCUGAAUAUGGGGGGACCAUCCUCCAAGGCUAAAUACUCCUGACUGACCGAUAGUGAACCAGUACCGUGAGGGAAAGGCGAAAAGAACCCCGGCGAGGGGAGUGAAAAAGAACCUGAAACCGUGUACGUACAAGCAGUGGGAGCACAGAGCAAUCUGUGUGACUGCGUACCUUUUGUAUAAUGGGUCAGCGACUUAUAUUCUGUAGCAAGGUUAACCGAAUAGGGGAGCCGAAGGGAAACCGAGUCUUAACUGGGCGUUAAGUUGCAGGGUAUAGACCCGAAACCCGGUGAUCUAGCCAUGGGCAGGUUGAAGGUUGGGUAACACUAACUGGAGGACCGAACCGACUAAUGUUGAAAAAUUAGCGGAUGACUUGUGGCUGGGGGUGAAAGGCCAAUCAAACCGGGAGAUAGCUGGUUCUCCCCGAAAGCUAUUUAGGUAGCGCCUCGUGAAUUCAUCUCCGGGGGUAGAGCACUGUUUCGGCAAGGGGGUCAUCCCGACUUACCAACCCGAUGCAAACUGCGAAUACCGGAGAAUGUUAUCACGGGAGACACACGGCGGGUGCUAACGUCCGUCGUGAAGAGGGAAACAACCCAGACCGCCAGCUAAGGUCCCAAAGUCAUGGUUAAGUGGGAAACGAUGUGGGAAGGCCCAGACAGCCAGGAUGUUGGCUUAGAAGCAGCCAUCAUUUAAAGAAAGCGUAAUAGCUCACUGGUCGAGUCGGCCUGCGCGGAAGAUGUAACGGGGCUAAACCAUGCACCGAAGCUGCGGCAGCGACACUGUGUGUUGUUGGGUAGGGGAGCGU